UACGGAGGGGGCUAGCGUUGUUCGGAAUCACUGGGCUUAAAGGGCGCGUAGGCGGGCCGCCAAGUCCGCGGUGAAAUCCCCCGGCUCAACCGGGGAACUGCCGCGGAUACUGGAGGUCUCGAGGGGGGUAGGGGCAUGCGGAACUGCGGGUGGAGCGGUGAAAUGCGUUGAUAUCCGCAGGAACUCCGGUGGCGAAGGCGGCGUGCUGGACCCUUUCUGACGCUGAGGCGCGAAAGCCAGGGGAGCGAACGGG
rnacentral:rRNA from 1 species